CAUGUUCUCUUUAUUAAAGAAUUCGGUAAGCGAUGGGGAGUGCGUUCCAUUAGAUAGUUGGCGGGGUAACGGCCCACCAAGUCUACGAUGGAUAGGGGGUUCUGAGAGGAAGGUCCCCCACAUUGGAACUGAGACACGGUCCAAACUCCUACGGGAGGCAGCAGUGAGGAAUAUUGGUCAAUGGACGAGAGUCUGAACCAGCCAAGUAGCGUGAAGGAUGACUGCCCUAUGGGUUGUAAACUUCUUUUAUAAGGGAAUAAAGUGAGGGACGUGUCCCUUUUUGUAUGUACCUUAUGAAUAAGGAUCGGCUAACUCCGUG
rnacentral:rRNA from 1 species